CCUACGGGUGGCUGCAGUGAGGAAUAUUGGUCAAUGGUCGGGAGACUGAACCAGCCAAGCCGCGUGAGGGAUGAAGGUACAGAGUAUCGUAAACCUCUUUUGUCAGGGAACAAAGACUGGGACGCGUCCCCGGAUGAGUGUACCUGAAGAAAAAGCAUCGGCUAACUCCGUGCCAGCAGCCGCGGUAAUACGGAGGAUGCGAGCGUUAUCCGGAUUUAUUGGGUUUAAAGGGUGCGCAGACGUUCUGUUAAGUCAGCGGUCAAAGCCCGGGGCUCAACCCCGGCCCGCCGUUGAAACGGGCAGUCUCGAGUUGGAGAGAAGUAGGCGGAAUGCGCGGUGUAGCGGUGAAAUGCAUAGAGACCGCGCAGAACUACGAUUGCGAAGGCAGCAUGUCGGCUCCACACUGACGCUGAGGCACGAAAGCGUGGGUAUCGAACAGGAGUAGAGACCCUUGUAGUC
rnacentral:rRNA from 1 species